rnacentral:rRNA from 1 species
UACGUAGGGGGCAAGCGUUGUCCGGAUUUACUGGGCGUAAAGAGCGUGUAGGCGGCCCGGUAAGUCCGCUGUAAAAGUCAAAGGCUCAACCUUUGAAUGUCAGUGGAUACUGCCGGGCUAGAGUCCGGAAGAGGCGAGUGGAACUCCUGGUGUAGCGGUGGAAUGCGCAGAUAUCAGGAAGAACACCAACGGCGAAGGCAGCUCGCUGGGACGGUACUGACGCUGAGACGCGAAAGCGUGGGGAGCGAACAGG